UGCUACAUUACCCUUUCCUCUUCAAGGGAACACCAACGCAAGGCUCCAAGGUCGCGGGGAAAUCCUUUGCAUAUUUGCCAAAGAAGUCCCUAUAGGCGUAGCCCGUAGCAGCAGGAUUCCUGGUGCCGUUGUCAGGGAAGGUCUGUUGUCGCAGCAGCAGAAGGAUUUCUGGCGCCGUUGUCGGGGAGGAGAGAUCAAGUCAAGAUCUAUCCAAUUAGGUGUCACAAACUCAUCUCUUGCAUUUACCUUUUUUGUCAGUUGCCUCUCAUUUUCCUCUCCCCCACUUCACAUUUGUCGUUUUCAUUGCCUUUCUCCUUUGCCGUUUUCAUUUGCCUUUUUUCUGUUUUCCUUUGCC
rnacentral:lncRNA from 1 species